rnacentral:ncRNA from 1 species
AGAUCUGAAAUCAAUUGAGAUUACCCGCUGAUCAUAAGCAUAUUACUCGGCGGAGCAAAAGAAAAUAACAAUGAUUCGCCUAAUAACGGCGAUCGACGAGGGAAGUACUCAGUGUGAAACUCGUGAGCCAUUUGCUGGCCUCACGAAUUGUAGCCUCUAGAGGCGUUGUCAGUGGCAGGAAGGGUCUAAGUUUCUUGAAACAGAGCUUGAGAGAGGGUGACAGCCCCGUCCUGUCUUCUCUUCCUUUUCCCCCACGUACGGCGCGCUUUUACUGAGUCGCGUUCGUUGGGAUUUGAGCGCAGAAUGUAUGAUGAGCUUCACAUAAAGCUAAAGAUCGGCGUGAUACCGAUAACGAAAAAGUACUGUGGAGGAACGAUGACAAG